UGGGGAAUAUUGGACAAUGGGGGCAACCCUGAUCCAGCCAUGCCGCGUGUGUGAAGAAGGCCUUUUGGUUGUAAAGCACUUUAAGCAGGGAGGAGAGGCUAAUGGUUAAUACCCAUUAGAUUAGACGUUACCUGCAGAAUAAGCACCGGCUAACUCUGUGCCAGCAGCCGCGGUAAUACAGAGGGUGCGAGCGUUAAUCGGAAUUACUGGGCGUAAAGCGAGUGUAGGUGGCUCAUUAAGUCACAUGUGAAAUCCCCCGGGGCUUAACCUGGGAACUGCAUGUGAUACUGGUGGUGCUAGAAUAUGUGAGAGGGAAGUAGAAUUCCAGGUGUAGCGGUGAAAUGCGUAGAGAUCUGGAGGAAUACCGAUGGCGAAGGCAGCUUCCUGGCAUAAUAUUGACACUGAGAUUCGAAAGCGUGGGUAGCAAACAGGAUUAGAUACCCUGGUAGUCCACGCCGUAAACGAUGUCUACUAGCCGUUGGGGUCCUUGAGACUUUAGUGGCGCAGUUAACGCGAUAAGUAGACCGCCUGGGGAGUACGGCCGCAAGGUUAAAACUCAAAUGAAUUGACGGGGUCUAGCUGUUUCCU
rnacentral:rRNA from 1 species